GAGACAUUAGUAAAAUAUGAAUAUUACAUCACCUUGUCGAGGUGAAAUUGCUGGUUAGAUCCCAG
rnacentral:tRNA from 1 species